CUACCAUUAUAGCAUCUGUCAGUUAGCUUUAACUUUAAGCCUUCUAGAAGAAUCAACAUAUUCUGAUUUGAGAGUUUCCUCCACAUGGUCAAAAUAAAAUGUGAAAUUUCAGUAACUGGCAUGAAAAAUUUUAGUCGUACCCAGGAAGUUUUCAGAAACUAGAGCUUUUACAUAAUAUGGAAGUUUUAAUGUUUUUGAAGGUUCAGUAAAUUAUGUAGUGUACAAGAGUGAAGUCUAAAUUACCCACUCAGAAGGGUAACCCUAUAGCCCACAUGUCUGGAUCCAUGUAAGCAGAUGGAUAGACACACUUCAUUUCUCCUGGGAAGCUGACUUCUAAAAAGCUAUCACUCAGAGCAGACGGUUUUAUGGUUGCAUGAAAAGGAAAGGAAAGAUGACAGAGUCGCUAUAAAAAUGAAAGGCCUUUUGGAGUAUUAACAACUGAAAACAUUACAGCUUAAAUGAAAAUGUGAAACAAAAAUCAGCUUAAAACUGCAAACAACAACAACAAAAAACUGCAGAAGGUUUGAAGCAUAUGGACACCCACCCAGUUCGCAAUGAGGGCAAUGGGAGCCCCAGACUUCAGCUUAUUAAAGAUGACCUUUCCCCUCUCUAAAAUUUCAAAGCUGACGUUUCAAGUGCUGAGCAGACUGUGUGCCAUAUGUAACAUGACCUCAGCUCCACUCUGCCCGAGCACUGAUGGCAUCACUAAUGAGAGGUGAAAGGUCCUUUUCUUGCAGCUUUUUCAGAAACCCACCAACUCUUGCCUGUGAAGUAAGGCUCCGCCCUCUCCCCUCAGCCCCCUUGAUUUCAAGAGAACUGCAUGUAAUACACAGCCUCAAAAUGCUUUUAUUAUCAGUCGCUUUGCUUACAGCCACAUCCAAAUGGCAGGAUGUACAAUCACAUGCAGAAGAAAAUAUUUAUUUUGACUCAGAAGGCAAAGGGAUUAAGAGAACAUUGUACUAACCUUGCCUUUCAUCUGUUUUAAAGGGAAAUUCUCAAGAGACAUCCAUUGAAGUUCUAUUUUUUUUUUUAUAAAGAAUAUCAGACUUUUAGGAGCCCAGGUGUGUGUUUAUCUGAGGGGAGGAGAGGGAAGAAACUAUAUUAGGGUGGAGAAGGCAGCUUUCACAAAGCUGCUUCAGAGACUGCGUGCGAAAAGAUGUGUGUGCAGGAAUCUGUUGCAGGCAUUCCUACUCCCCCACCCCUUUUUUCUGCUGCUUGGAAACAAAAUAGCUUUUUUCCAAGCAGGUUGUUAUCAUAUUCAUGGCAUGGUCAAUUUCCGUUUGCCAAGAAAAUAUUUAGGCUGAUCAAAGAAAUUAGAAAAUCGGAUGAAUAGAAACAGACGUCCCCACAAGAGAAGCGUUUCUCAACGUGAAGAGGCAGGCGGGCUGCAGCCCACCCAGUUACUCCUAGGAAAUAGCUCUCUUGCCAAAGGCGGAGCUACAGGGCCACCUGGAUUCUGCUGGAAGGGCUGUGGACGAGUCACGACUCCCCAGGAAAUUCACAGGGAGACUGGAGCUUGAGAUUCUCUGUUGGCGGACAUGUAAGGAGACCAUCGGUUAUAGUAUCUAUGUACAAACCAGAAGGGCCUUUAACUAUGUCCCUGAAUACGGAGGGACCUUUCAAGACAGAAGAUGAGUGAGUGUGGGAUCCUUUUGUUUUGCUUUGCCUGAUUUAUUAUGAGCAUGGAAAGAUGAGAACACGUUAUCCCUUGUAGAUGACAGAGGAAAAUUAUGUACUUUUGGAAUGGACGAAUAACAGUUUCUUGCGAAUUAAUACAAACUGAGUUUUUAGAUUUGUGGGUUUGGGUGGGAAACGGUUGAUAGUAGUUGUCUUCAGAUCCCUCUGGUCGCCAAGUGCGCGUCCAGCCAAUCGGUGACAGUAAAUUAGAGGGUCUUCUCUCUCUUCUGGUCCCUGGGCAAGGCGCGGCCAAACCAGGUGAGGCCACUUGCUGCGCACCUUCGAUGUGAAGGAUUGGCUGGCGUCGCGGUUUUACUUCCGCAGGACUCACGAAACCCAAAACCUGGCUCGGCUCCUGGAAAGGGGAUCGGGACCCCCCUCGCCGCCGCCCCCGCUCGCCUUGGACAAACUGGGGCUCCUCACUCGCCAGGGAAGCGUCGCCGACCUCACCCUGACGCCUCCAGUUUCCGAGGGAGAAAGCGAGGGAGGGAUGACCCUGAAGGAAGGCCACUGUGGGGAGAGCAAAAGGGGCCAACGGAGCUCCCUCCCCGCGAGUCCCACUCGGGGCUAGCGGCUCUGGCAGGGCCGCGGCGGGCCAAGCGGUUCCCGGGCUGGGGGCUGAGAAUCGCUGUGCCACCCGAGCCCCUCCCCGCCGCGUGCCCCUCACCCCGCCGCUCAGCUGGGCGGAGGUUCUUGUCUUUUUGUUUCGGUUCCUGCCGGCCGGGCCAGGGAUCCUUUGCCAGGAAGACAGCGCCCUCUCUGUCCUCGGCCGCGCCCGCCGCGGGCCCGCGCCCCUCCCCGCUCCGCUGACCUCCCCUCGCCUGCUUCCCGCCCCUGCGGUCCCCUGCCCUGUCCUCUCCUUCCUCACGCCCCGACGCCUCUUGGCCCCAGUAACGCCCCGGGGAAGCUCCCGAGAGAGCGGCGGGGUCCGAAGCCUGCUGUCGCCCGAGCCGCUGGGCCGGCCCGGCCGGAACGCCCAGCCUCUCGCUGCCCGACUGGGCGGAGCCGUCCCGGCGCAGACGCGGCGCCCGAGAGCUCUCGGCGGCCCCCGGGCGGGCUUCGUGGCGCGGGCGGCGGGACCGGCGCAGAGGACCGUGCUUCAGACAAACGCCGCGCGGCUCAUACCGGAGCAGAGGCAGUCAAGCUUCUGUCCGCGAAAAUCUGGAUCCUUUAGAACCCGAGCAAUGUACUCGUGUGGGAAUACAAAAACAUUUCCCGCGGCGUGGCUUUGCACCGACAUAGGUACAGGCCCGAAGUGCUCCCCGACGCCCUGCCGGCGCCCGGGAGCCACAGGGGGAGUUCGCCUCGAGCUGACCGGGCUGCAGAGGGCGGGCAGCUCCCAGAAGUGCACUAAUUGAGUCACAAACCACGGGCCGCCCCUAACAAAGCGAUCCAUCUCGGCCGCUCCGCGCCCAAUUUGUCCGCAGUACUUUCUUCCGCAAUUCAGAAGCAUUAUCUUGUUUUUAGAAGUAUCGCGGCAGAAACGUGGCAAUUAUCCUGGGCUCGGGUUACGCUAAAUGGCUUUAGGCUGAGAAAUGGAAGAAUACAAAUGCCGCGAACGUGCUGAUCGCCUCGCUGCCAAGCCUGGACCUGGGGUAGGGGAAGCGAGCCAGAAGAUUACGGAGGGGAGAGGGAGGUCCGGCGCAAGUGCCCACUCUUGGCCCUCUCCCAAUGGCACCGGCCAGAAAGAAGUGUUGGGCCUUUGUCCCUAGAGGUUAAGGAUUCUGAGCGAUGAACCCUCAGAGGUUGGGAGAGAAGGGGUCAUAUUCUAACAUCACCCGGCUAAGCUUCUGGCCUCGGCUUUGGGUCAGGAACAGGUUGGGAGCUUCAGGCACUGAUGAGAAAGGUGCUUGGCAUCUGAUGUUGAGUGCGUCUUCUGGCUAAGUCUGGAGCUUGGCGAGUCCCUGAGCCUGAGCCUUCUCAGAGCGCAAUUGAAGUCGGCCCUUUUCCUCCAGAACAGCAAGUGGAUGGGAAAGAACCUUGACAACACAAAACUCAUUUACUAAUGGACUGGUUUUGGGUUUCUCUUCUCCGGGUCCGCAAAUCGCCCUGCCUGAGCCCUCGGCCUAUUCAGACCUCGCGGGGAGCGGCGUCCCCCAGGAGGCAGGUGGGCGGCUGCUCCGGCCGCUGGCCUCGGGGAGCCCCGCAUCCCAAGGGUCGAGGGCACCCGGAGUUUCCGACCAAGCAGAGGAAAAAAGAUGGAUGCUGUCACUUCAGCCAGGAUUUGGGCAGUCUCUGCACUGCCGCAGAGCGACGACGCUAAUUUGUUAAAGAAACGCCUCCUGUUGCCUUUCCCUUCCAAAUAUACGUAGCUAGAGCAGGAUCCCCGCUGUCGUUCUUGAUGGCGAAGUAAUUCCAAGAAAGCAGGCCGUGAGCCCCCAAAACACCUCGCUCUAAGCCAGAAGGGAAAUAAGUGGGUCCCAGUCAGAGGUUUUUUGAACCAAGGCCUUAUGUCAACCCAGCCGAGAAACCCCAGCAGCAACCAGUGCCUCCGCAUUGGCCUUUCCAUUGACCAAUUGUGCGCACCCGGCCAUUACCUGCGCAGCAGAGGCACAGAAGAGCCGAAACCUGGCGUCGGGCGCCCCUCGCCAGCCGCGUUACCCUCGGGAACCACGGAGCGGCGGGGGCAGCAGCUGGAGUUGCUCGUUCCCUUUAAAUCUCCGACGCAUCUCUGUUUUUCGUGUGAUUUGCAUUGACAGCAAAGGUUUUAAGUUACUAGAACAACUCUAACCUUUCUGUGCGCGAUUUAAAAUGGAUCAUUUGGUUUAUGUGGUUUGUAAAUUCAUGUCAUUUUACCUCUUUUAGUGGUUUUCAGUGAAAGGUUCCAUUUUGGGAAACCUUAUAUAUCCGAGCCAAUAAUUAACAUUUAUAACAAUUGGUUACCCUGACCAAGAGAUCGAAAUAGCAGGUAGGCUCGAUGGUACAAAGCGAAUAGCACUUUUCUUUUCUAGUUACGGGAUCUGUUGGAUUAAACAUAAGGAGAAAGGCUGGCGGCCCGGCACAGCCUCCGAGAAGGAGCACCACUUCUCACUGACCCCAGGGCCCACAAUCACAGCACCCACACGGUUGUCUUCCCAGUUGUCGCCAACGUCUUGUAUGUCCUCAUUCCUUUUGAAGAGAGAAGAAAAGAAGUGGGUUGAGAGGUCUGGAGGAAGUCGAAAUGAAGGUGGUCACAUCGGUGUCUAAUUGCCUUCUCUCUGCUCCCGGUCAUCCCCUGUGAAUUUAUACCCGCCCUCCUUGGCCAGGCUAUGCCUCAUUUCCUUAUACAAAAUUUUUAAUUAUAAAGUACACCCCAUGCUCAACUUACCGUUUGUCUUUUAAGAGACGUAGCUGUACUUACAGCCGCUCCCCUCCCCCCCAUACACGUUGUAAUUCUGCGCACUUGCUCCAGACUUUAGGGUAUUAACUGAUUUUUAGAGCCAGUUUAAGCCUCUGUGCUGGUCCUCACACAGCUGCCAUGUCAAUAAGGAUUGUUCCAAGCAGAGACAUUCCUUCUGGCAGGACGGACACUACAGCUCCUUAAGACUUCAUCUGAAACAUCCUGAGCACUAAAAUAAGAUGGUGAGGGAAAAUUACCAGACACAUGGGCUUGCGCUCAGCUGUGCCAGGUUCUAGUUAAGAAAGUAAGUCAUUGGGUACACCAUGUAAUAGGUAAUAACUUUUGAA
ensembl:lncRNA